rnacentral:rRNA from 1 species
GACGAACGCUGGCGGCGUGCCUAACACAUGCAAGUCGAACGGAACUGUUUUGAAAGAUUUCUUCGGAAUGAAUUUGAUUUAGUUUAGUGGCGGACGGGUGAGUAACGCGUGAGUAACCUGCCUUCAAGAGGGGGAUAACAUUCUGAAAAGAAUGCUAAUACCGCAUGAUAUAUCGGAACCACAUGGUUUUGAUAUCAAAGAUUUUAUCGCUUGAAGAUGGACUCGCGUCCGAUUAGUUAGUUGGUGAGGUAACGGCUCACCAAGACCGCGAUCGGUAGCCGGACUGAGAGGUUGAACGGCCACAUUGGGACUGAGACACGGCCCAGACUCCUACGGGAGGCAGCAGUGGGGGAUAUUGCGCAAUGGGGGCAACCCUGACGCAGCAACGCCGCGUGAAGGAUGAAGGUUUUCGGAUUGUAAACUUCUUUUAUUAAGGACGAAAAAUGACGGUACUUAAUGAAUAAGCUCCGGC